CCAUAAGAAAUUACUUUCUCUACAUCCUCGGUCAAGCAUACCCAAGUACCUUUCUAGAGGAUAGGAGAUGCUACUAUAUAUAUGAGGUAGAGGAGAAAUAUACGUCUACUGGCUCAUAGGUUCUUAAGGUCUCAAGGCUCGCUGCUUUUCAUAGACACUCUCUUUGAGCUUAACUUUUCUCCCACUGCUUUAUCUUGGUUA
rnacentral:lncRNA from 1 species